GGUGUUUUUGAAGCUCGGUAGGGGAAGGUCAAGACCCCAGCGGCCUCGGACCGGCACCUCCAAGGGCAUUAGGCCUUGCCAGGGACAGUUGGCUGAGGUCGCCUGCGGAAGUCAGCAGUGAGGUGCCCGCAGCCAGCAGUCUUCGAACAGGAAGUGGGCAGGAAGAUGGUGGUCUUCUAGAGCUACGGAGGGGGAGAAUUACUGAU